UCGGGAAUUUUGGGCAAUGGGGGAAACCCUGAUCCAGCCAUGCCGCGUGUGUGAAGAAGGCCUUCGGGUUGUAAAGCACUUUCGGACGGAACGAAAUCGCACGGGUGAAUAUCCCGUGUGGAUGACGGUACCGUAAGAAGAAGCACCGGCUAACUACGUGCCAGCAGCCGCGGUAAUACGUAGGGUGCGAGCGUUAAUCGGAAUUACUGGGCGUAAAGUGUGCGCAGGCGGCUUCGCAAGUCGAGUGUGAAAUCCCCGGGCUUAACUUGGGAACGGCGCUCGAAACUACGGAGCUAGAGUAUGGCAGAGGGAGGUGGAAUUCCACGUGUAGCGGUGAAAUGCGUAGAGAUGUGGAGGAACACCAAUGGCGAAGGCAGCCUCCUGGGCCAAUACUGACGCUCAUGCACGAAAGCGUGGGGAGCAAACAGGAUUAGAUACCCCAGUAGUCCCUGAGCGGGCUGGCAAGGCG
rnacentral:rRNA from 1 species